CCCCUCUCAGGGUUACACCUGGAGAAUUUCCAGUAUCUACCAGUCAAGAUGACAGGAGGGAGAGUCAAGCAGAAGCCUACCCACUCCAUUCCUAGCUUGGCCAGUGGCUAGCGAGUGGAAGGCAAUCUGCUACAAGU